UACGGAAGGCAGCAGUGGGGAAUAUUGCACAAUGGGCGCAAGCCUGAUGCAGCCAUGCCGCGUGUAUGAAGAAGGCCUUCGGGUUGUAAAGUACUUUCAGUCGUGAGGAAGGUGUUAAGGUUAAUAACCUUAGCAAUUGACGUUAGCGACAGAAGAAGCACCGGCUAACUCCGUGCCAGCAGCCGCGGUAAUACGGAGGGUGCGAGCGUUAAUCGGAAUUACUGGGCGUAAAGGGCACGCAGGCGGUUAAUUAAGUUGGAUGUGAAAUCCCCGGGCUUAACCUGGGAAUGGCAUUCAAGACUGGUUAGCUAGAGUCUUGUAGAGGGGGUUAGAAUUCCAUGUGUAGCGGUGAAAUGCGUAGAGAUGUGGAGGAAUACCGGUGGCGAAGGCGGCCCCUGGGACAAAGGCUGACGCUCAUGUGCGAAAGCGUGGGGAGCAAACAGGGAUUAGAUACC
rnacentral:rRNA from 1 species